GGGCGGUUGGCGCAAUGGUUAGCGCGUUCGCUUGACGUGCGAAAGGUUAUAGGUUCGAAUCCUAUACCGCCCA
rnacentral:tRNA from 1 species